UGCCAGUCAAACGGUCAUCUUCGGAUGAUAGUGGCGGACGGGUGAGUAACACGUGAGAAUCUGCCCUUAGGUCGGGGACAACAGUUGGAAACGACUGCUAAUACCGGAUGAGCUGAAAAGUAAAAGAUUUAUCGCCUAGGGAAGAGCUCGCGGCUGAUUAGCUAGUUGGUAGUGUAAAGGACAACCAAGGCAACGAUCAGUAGCUGGUCUGAGAGGAUGAGCAGCCACACUGGGACUGAGACACGGCCCAGACUCCUACGGGAGGCAGCAGUGGGGAAUUUUCCGCAAUGGGCGAAAGCCUGACGGAGCAAUACCGCGUGAGGGAGGAAGGCUCUUGGGUUUUAAACCUCAAAAACUCCAGGGAAAGAAGAAAGGGCCGGUACCCUGAUAUAAGCAUCGGCUAAACUCCGUUGCCAGCAGCCCGCGGUAAUACGGAGGGAUGCAAAGCGUUAUCCGGAAUCAUUGGGGCGUAAAGCGUCCGUAGGUGGCAUUUCAAGUCUGCAUUCAAAGACCGAGGCUCAACCUCGGGCAGGGUGUGGAAACUGAAAAGCUAGAGUACAGGAGGGGUAGAGGGAAUUCCUAGUGUAGCGGUGAAAUGCGUAGAGAUUAGGAAGAACACCGUGGCGAAGGCGCUCUACUGGACAUGUACUGACACUGAGGGACGAAAGCUAGGGUAGCGAAAGGGAUUAGAUACCCCUGUAGUCUUAGCUGUAAACGAUGGAUACUAAGUGUAGCGGGUAUAAACUCCGGCUGUGCUGAAGCAAACGCGUUAAGUAUCCCGCCUGGGGAGUACGCACGCAAGUGUGAAACUCAAAGGAAUUGACGGGGACCCGCACAAGCGGUGGAGUAUGUGGUUUAAUUCGAUGCAACGCGAAGAACCUUACCAAGACUUGACAUCCGAUGAAUCUUUUUGAAAGAAGAGAGAGUCUUUAGGGAACAUCGUGAAGGGUGGUGCAUGGCUGUCGUCAGCUCGUGUCGUGAGAUGUUGGGUUAAGUCCCGCAACGAGCGCAACCCUCGUCUUAGUUGCCAGCAUUAAGUUGGGGACUCUAGGGAGACCGCCGGGGAGAACUCGGAGGAAGGUGGGGAUGACGUCAAGUCAGCAUGCCCCUUACGUCUUGGGCUACACACGUACUACAAUGGUUGGGACAAAGGGAUGCGAGACCGCAAGGUGGAGCGAAACCCAUCAAACCCAGCCCCAGUUCAGAUCGUCGGCUGAAACUCGCCGACGUGAAGGAGGAAUCGCUAGUAAUCGCAGGUCAGCAUACUGCGGUGAAUCCGUUCCCGGGUCUUGUACACACCGCCCGUCACACCAUGGAAGUUGGUAACAUCCGAAGUCGUUACUCCAACCAUUUAUGGAGGAGGACGCCGAAGGUGGGACUAGUGACUGGGGUGAAGUCGUAACAAGGUAGCCGUACCGGAAGGUGUGGCUGGAUCACCUCCUUAUAAGGGAGACCGCAAAAUGUGGUCAGCAAGGA
rnacentral:rRNA from 1 species